CCGGGCCGGCCGGUGAAGAUGACCCUGCUGUGCGUAGGGAACAGCACCGCCGGACCGCCUGACGGCCACGAGCUACCCGUAGGGUGGCCUGGUGGGCCUCUCUGGUUUGGUGUGAAGUGGAAACUCAGACAAGUGCAAUAAGUAUGUGAAUAAUUUAGGGGAACAUAUAUGCUUGGUAUGAGACAUGGAGCUCUAAAAAGGACCAGUACUCAAGACAUUUGGGGUGAAUAGCAUUGCUCCUGGAUACACACUGCCAGGUUCUGACCUUAGUUGUGCCAUCAGCAGCUAUGUAACUCUGGUGAACUUGUCCGGGGCUGAAAUCCAUUGGCAAGACAAGGUGAAAGUGAGAUGAGAAAUGGCAAUCGACGGACAGUCUUCAUGAGUGCCAAGAAGUGCAUGCCCUCUGUAAAGCAGUGCUCUGCAGCCCUGAUAAUCAUGGUGGAGGCAGACAGCUGGCCUGAAACUGUGCUGAGAAGCCUCAAGAAAAGGACAGUGGAACAGAGGAAGAGAGCCCAAGUGGGGUCACCCCAUUUGUGCUUGCAAAGGAAAGGAAGAGGUGACAGGCAGAAAAGCCAAGAAGUUAGACUGUUCCUGUUGUAAGAAAUCCUGUUAUGCUGGAAGAAGACACAAAACAUCUGAAUCAGAGAAAAAGAACUGUUUUACUUCAAGCACAACAUUAAAAAUGUGAACAUCAGUGUUUGCGUUAAUUCUUCUUGCCCCUAAGUUCUACAGGGGUGAUGCCAAGGGGCCCACAGGUAGAUGCCACACAUGUGGUGUGUUUGUGUUGCAGUGGGGAAACAAUGAGCUUGAAGAACCCACUGCUUUUCCAGCAAGCAGCAAGCUAAGCUUGCUCUUUGUUGCAGAGGGAGAUAUUCCUUCAUCCCACAAAACUGCUCACUGCAAACAUAAUCAUGAGAAAUGGCUUGGGUAAAGAGUGGUGUGGCAGAAAGCAUGUAGGCCCAUGUGGGGAAAUGGAAGUUCCUAUGGCCGGGAUCCUCCUCACCUGAACUAAACUGAUGAUGUAACUGGCCUGCUGCUAGGCUACUGCUUCACAACCGCUGGCAAUGAGCUAUUAUUGACUAAGUCAUUAUAUAAAGAACUCCCCUGAGUGCUCUGGGUGGAGGCAAACACAGAGGUAGAUUAUGGACCUGCAGACUGCUGGGUGCAGAUGUGAUUCUAAUUCUCGAUCUACCACCAGCUGAUUGCCAGCUAGACUUAUUGACUACUAACUAACUGAAAAUAGCACAAGUGAUGAGAUGUUGCUUCUAAGAUGAGGUUAUAAAAGGACAGUGGCUUCUGUCUUAGACACCCUCUCAGGUUCUCUCACUACUCACUCUGAAGGAAUACAGCUGUCAUUUGUCAGCUGCCUGUGGAAAGUCCUUAUGGCAAGGAAAGCAUGUCUUUGGCCAAUAGUCAGCAAGGACCCGAAUCCUGCCAACAGCCAUGUGAGUGAGCUUGGAAGCAGAAUCUCCCCCAUUCAAGCCUGGAGUUGACGCAGCCCUGGCCAACACCUUGACUAUAGCCUUGUCAGAGACCUUGAUCCACAGCACCCAACUAAGCUUUGCCCAGAUUCCUAAUCCACAGAAACUGUCAGAAAAUAAAUUUGUUGUUUUAAGCCUCUGUGUUUUGGAGUAAUCAGUUAUCCAGUCAUAUAGAUAAGUAAUAUAAGCAGUCAGGGCCUUGAUUCUUGGCAUACUGAACAAUGUGCAUUGGCAUGAGAGAGUGACAGAUAACUACCUUUGGACAACAGGGUAAAGACAACCCAGGGGUAGGUAAUGCCGUCUUCCUCAAAGGAUGACAUGCUUGGUGUCUAUUAUCUAGGCAAGAGGCUGAUACUGAGACUGGAAACUAGAAUUUGCAAGGAAGCCAUUAGCUGAAAAUAACCUUACCAAUCUUAAGAGAUAGUUUUUGA